ACGGCUCAGUAACACGUGGACAACCUACCCUGAGGUCGGGGAUAAACCCGGGAAACUGGGUAUAAUACCCGAUAGAUCUAGAUCGCUGGAAUGCUUUUAGGUCUAAAGUUCCGACGCCUCAGGAUGGGUCUGCGGCCUAUCAGGGUAGUAGUGGGUGUAAAGUACCUACUAGCCUACGACGGGUACGGGUUGUGAGAGCAAGAGCCCGGAGAUGGAUUCUGAGACACGAAUCCAGGCCCUACGGGGUGCAGCAGGCGCGAAACCUUUACAAUGCCGGCAACAGCGAUAAGGGGACCUCGAGUGCUACGAUACAAUCGUGGCUGUCUAGUUGCCUAAAAAGCAAUUGAUAGCAAGGGCCGGGCAAGACCGGUGCCAGCCGCCGCGGUAACACCGGCGGCUCGAGUGGUAACCGCUAUUAUUGGGUCUAAAGGGUCUGUAGCCGGCUUAGUUAGUCUCUUGAGAAAUCUGGCCGCUCAACGGUCAGGCGUUCAGGGGAUACUGCUAAAGCUCGAGACCGGGAGAGGUGAGAGGUACUUCAGGGGUAGGGGUGAAAUCUUGUAAUCCUCGAAGGACCACCAGUGGCGAAGGCGUCUCACCAGAACGGAUCUGACGGCAAGGGACGAAAGCUAGGGGCACGAACCGGAUUAGAUACCCGGGUAGUCCUAGCCGUAAACGAUACUCGCUAGGUGUCGGCCACGGUGCGACCGUGGUCGGUGCCGUAGGGAAGCCGUGAAGCGAGCCACCUGGGAAGUACGGCCGCAAGGCUGAAACUUAAAGGAAUUGGCGGGGGAGCAC
rnacentral:rRNA from 1 species